UCUCCCUUGAGAGAGACAAUGUCUCUUUUCAAGACAACUUGUAUUUUGUUCAUAGAUAUUCCUAUAGGAACAAUUGGACACUGAGGAUCUGCAUGUCCGAAAGUUUGAAUCUACCACUUCCUAUCUCAUUUGAUAGACACAAGUUUUCUACAGGGAAAGUUUGCAAGAAGACAAUCAAAGUUCUUUGCUAAAUGGGUUGAUGGGAUCCUACUGGAACUCUAUAGAAGCUAGUACGGACUGAGGGAACGGCAUGGAGCUGUGUGAGAGAGUGGUCAGACGGAUGAUAAGAAAACGCUUUUCAUUACACGGUG